rnacentral:rRNA from 1 species
UGGGGAAUUUUGGACAAUGGGCGAAAGCCUGAUCCAGCAAUGCCGCGUGUGUGAAGAAGGCCUUCGGGUUGUAAAGCACUUUUGUCCGGAAAGAAAUCCUUGGCUCUAAUACAGUCGGGGGAUGACGGUACCGGAAGAAUAAGCACCGGCUAACUACGUGCCAGCAGCCGCGGUAAUACGUAGGGUGCAAGCGUUAAUCGGAAUUACUGGGCGUAAAGCGUGCGCAGGCGGUUUGCUAAGACCGAUGUGAAAUCCCCGGGCUCAACCUGGGAACUGCAUUGGUGACUGGCAGGCUAGAGUAUGGCAGAGGGGGGUAGAAUUCCACGUGUAGCAGUGAAAUGCGUAGAGAUGUGGAGGAAUACCGAUGGCGAAGGCAGCCCCCUGGGCCAAUACUGACGCUCAUGCAUGAAAGCGUGGGGAGCAAAACAGGAUUAGAUACCCUGGUAGUCCACGCCCUAAAACGAUGUCAACUAGUUGUUGGGGAUUCAUUUCCUUAGUAACGUACUAACGCGUGAAGUUGACCGCCUGGGGAGUACGGUCGCAAGAUUAAAACUCAAAUGAAUUGACGGGGUCAUAGCUGUUUCC